rnacentral:piRNA from 1 species
UGNGGCGGCCGCUUUAAGCAUUGCUUACCACU